rnacentral:rRNA from 1 species
UACAGAGGUCUCAAGCGUUGUUCGGAUUCAUUGGGCGUAAAGGGUGCGUAGGCGGCGCGGUAAGUCGGGUGGUGAAAUCUCGGGGCUUAACUCCGAAACUGCAUUCGAUACUGCCGUGCUUGAGGACUGGAGAGGAGACUGGAAUUUACGGUGUAGCGGUGAAAUGCGUAGAUAUCGAGAGGAACACCUGCGGCGAAGGCGGGUAGCUGGGCCGACACUGACGCUGGAGGCGCGAAAGCGUGGGGAGCGAACAGG